UUAAGUUCAGCGGGUAUCCCUACCUGAUCCGAGGUCAACCUUUAAUGAAAUUGGUUUGUUUAACGGCGUGACCGAAACGCGCACCUUUAGCGAAUAGUUUCCACAACGCUGAGGGACGAUUCAGACCCAGCCGAAAGAUUUGAGGCGCGCGGCGUACCGCGUCGCCCAAUACCAAGCGAGGCUUGAGUGGUGUAAUGACG
rnacentral:misc_RNA from 1 species